ensembl:lncRNA
GAGUGGGUGGUCAACAGGGCCCAGCAGAGCCCACUCAUAAGCAGGAUGGGCAGAGGCUGGUAACAAGCACAAACACACAGCCUAAUGGGAGCACAAGACCUACUAUUGACAAAUCAACAGGGGCAUGGCAGUGGGUCAUCUACUGUGUAUUAUCAAAACAGCUAGGAGAGAAUAAUUUCAACAUUACCAGCACAAGGAAAAGAAAAUAUUUCAAGUGAAAGACAUCCCAAGUACCCAGAUUUGAUCAACAUAGGGAUGAAUCAAGAUAUCACAUGCACUCUGAAAAUAUGUACAUAUAUUAUGUAUCAACAAAAACAAAAACCAGUGACAGAACCAUUUGCGAAGCACGUGCAGGAGAAGAAUGGGAAGCCUGACGUGGUGUGGCUGUGUGUCCCCACCCAAAUCUCAUGCUGAACUGUAACCGUGUUGGAGGUGGGCCCUGGUGGGAGGUGAUUGACUUACGGGGGUGGUUUCUAAUGGUUUAUCACAAUCCCUCAAGUGUUGUCCUCAUGAUAGUUCUCCCGAGAUCUGGUUGUUUGGAGGUGCAUGGCACCUUCCCCUUCACUCUCUCCCCUUCCAGCCAUGUGAAGGCAUGCCUGCCUCCCCUUCACCUUCCACCAUGAUUGUAAGUGUCCCCAGAUGUAGAAGCCUAUACAGCCCACAGAACUGUAUGCCGAUUAAACCUUUUUUCCUUAUUACCCAGCCUCAGGUAGUUCUUUAUAGCAGUGGAAGAACAGUACAGUCCUCAGGACCAGCAAAGUUUUCCUUCUACCAAGCGGCCAACAAGGGUCCCACACCCUAGCUGAUUUUCCGAAGCCUUUGCCAGAAUGCUGAGGCUGUUUUGGAGAUAUUAACUUUCCCCAUCUCUGGCAAACCAGAUGGGGCAUCCUAUUUGCCUCUUACCGCCUUUCUCAGAGAAACCCCACCUCUGAAACAGCCUCCGCCAGGGGCCUCCUUCAGCAGCAGCAAAGCUGAGUAUUCCUUGCACUUUCCUUCUUCUGAACAAGUAAACAUCUUAAGCUUGUUUUUCCAUCUUCCCAGCUCAUUGAAAAAAAUAUCUUAUGCUUUCUAUUUUCCUCACACACACACAUAGAAGAGAAGUGCCGUGAGAGCAGGGGCUCUUGUUUUCCCGGAUCUGAACCUGGCCCUCAAACACUAGUCGAAUUCAUACUAACACGAUAUCCAGAGGCAGAAAUGCAAAUAUCCCCACCACUUCAAAUACCCCUAAGGAUCUAACAGGCCCAGUGGACCAUGUAACUAUGGUUUGUGCUGGGCCAUUCAACUGGUGUCCAAAUCCCUGUCCAAGCGAGCUCUUUAAUUUUGAGACUUUUCAGACAGCUUUUUUGUUGUUCUGUUUUUAUUAAAGGGAUCUAUUACAAUUACAAUCAAGAAUAUCCCAGGCCGAGUGUGGUGGCUCAUGCCUGUAAUCCCAGCACAUUGGGAGGUCAAAGUGAGACAAUCACCUGAGGUCAGGAUUUCAAGACCAGCCUGGUCAACAUGUUGAAACCCUGUCUCUACUAAUACAAAAAUGAACAAGCCAUGGUGGCAGGCACUUAUAAUCCCAGCUACUCAGGAGGUUGAGGCAGGAGAAUGGCGUGAACCAUGAGGUGAGGCUGCAGUGAGCCAAGAUCGUGCCACUGCAUUCCAGCCUGGGCAGACAGCAAGACUGUCUCAAAAAAAAAAAAAAAAA